rnacentral:rRNA from 1 species
GACGAACGCUGGCGGCGUGCCUAAUACAUGCAAGUCGAGCGAAGCGGCGGGUGGGUGAGUAACGCGUGGGUAACCUGCCCUUAAAUCAGGGAUACCAUGUGGAAACAGAUGCUAAUACCGGUUACUAAAGGAUGUACCUACGAUACAUGAGCUAGUUGGUAAGGUAACGGCUUACAAAGGCGAUGAGGCAUAGCCGAGUUGAGAGACUGAUCGGCCACAUUGGGACUGAGACACGGCCCAAACUCCUACGGGAGGCAGCAGUAGGGAAUCUUCCACAAUGGACGAAAGUCUGAUGGACCAACGCCGCGUGAGUGAAGAAGGUUUUCGGAUCGUAAAGCUCUGUUGUUGGUGAAGCGGUAAUCAACCAGAAAGUCACGGCUAACUACGUGCCAGCAGCCGCGGUAAUAC